rnacentral:tRNA from 1 species
GCGCCCGUAGCUCAGUAGGAUAGAGCGUCGGUUUCCUAAACCGAAGGCCGCAGGUUCGAGUCCUGCCGGGCGUA